CCUACGUGGGUCUGCAGUAGGGAAUAUUGCUCAAUGGGGGAAACCCUGAAGCAGCAACGCAGCGUGGAGGAUGAAGGUUUUCGGAGUGUAAACUCCUUUUGUUAGAGAAGAUAAUGACGGUAUCUAACGAAUAAGCACCGGCUAACUCCGUGCCAGCAGCCGCGGUAAUACGGAGGGUGCAAGCGUUACUCGGAGUCACUGGGCGUAAAGAGCGCGUAGGCGGGCUAGCAAGUCAGAUGUGAAAGACUAUGGCUUAACCAUUGAACUGCAUUUGAAACUGUUAUUCUAGAGUAUGUGCGAGGUAGAUGGAAUUCUUGGUGUAGCGGUAAAAUCCGUAGAGAUCAAGAGGAAUACUCAUUGCGAAGGCGACUGGCUAGAACAUAACUGACGCUGAUGCGCGAAAGCGUGGGGAGCAAACAGGAUUAGAUACCCCAGUAGUC
rnacentral:rRNA from 1 species